AGAGUUUGAUCCCGGCUCAGGAUGAACGCUAGCUACAGGCUUAACACAUGCAAGUCGAGGGGCAGCAUGGUCUUAGCUUGCUAAGGCUGAUGGCGACCGGCGCACGGGUGAGUAACACGUAUCCAACCUGCCGUCUACUCUUGGCCAGCCUUCUGAAAGGAAGAUUAAUCCAGGAUGGGAUCAUGAGUUCACAUGUCCGCAUGAUUAAAGGUAUUUUCCGGUAGACGAUGGGGAUGCGUUCCAUUAGAUAGUAGGCGGGGUAACGGCCCACCUAGUCAACGAUGGAUAGGGGUUCUGAGAGGAAGGUCCCCCACAUUGGAACUGAGACACGGUCCAAACUCCUACGGGAGGCAGCAGUGAGGAAUAUUGGUCAAUGGGCGAUGGCCUGAACCAGCCAAGUAGCGUGAAGGAUGACUGCCCUAUGGGUUGUAAACUUCUUUUAUAAAGGAAUAAAGUCGGGUAUGCAUACCCGUUUGCAUGUACUUUAUGAAUAAGGAUCGGCUAACUCCGUGCCAGCAGCCGCGGUAAUACGGAGGAUCCGAGCGUUAUCCGGAUUUAUUGGGUUUAAAGGGAGCGUAGAUGGAUGUUUAAGUCAGUUGUGAAAGUUUGCGGCUCAACCGUAAAAUUGCAGUUGAUACUGGAUGUCUUGAGUGCAGUUGAGGCAGGCGGAAUUCGUGGUGUAGCGGUGAAAUGCUUAGAUAUCACGAAGAACUCC
rnacentral:rRNA from 1 species